CAGUCGCCGCGGUAAUACGAAGGGGGCUAGCGUUGCUCGGAAUGACUGGGCGUAAAGGACGCGUAGGCGGCGGCCAAAGUCAGGCGUGAAAUUCCCGGGCUCAACCUGGGGGCUGCGUUUGAUACUUGGUUGCUUGAGUGGGGAAGAGGGUCGUGGAAUUCCCAGUGUAGAGGUGAAAUUCGUAGAUAUUCGGAAGAACACCAGUGGCGAAGGCGACAUACUGGAUCAUUACUGACGCUGAGGCUCGAAAGCGUGGGGAGCAAACAGGAUUAGAGACCCCCGUAGUCCCUGUCUCUUAUAC
rnacentral:rRNA from 1 species